GAGUCAUAUGCGAAUAAAAUGUAACCUCACGUCCCUGCCUUCUUGUCCAGCUUCCCUGGAUGGUGCAGGUGAAAUGGACUUUUAGCUGCACCUCCUAUGAACAUUGGCUGUGUAGAGCUAACCAGGCUGGUGUCUAGAUUGGGAGAAACUGUACCCAAGUCCAGAGAAAGCACACUCCAAGGAGUCCUCGGUAAUUACUGAAUGGAAUUAUCCACAUGCCCAUCUGGCCAAAUCACCACUAUCAGAUGGCUGUGGUCCCUGCUCAUCUUUGGAUCCUGACCCUUAGUCCCCAUCAAUAUCGUGAAGAGAGAAGCUGAAGAGAGAGCCACAAAUGUUGACAGAUAUCCAAAUGACAGAGACACAUAUGGAGUAAAUGCACUUACUUGGCCCAUUGCCAUAAAAAUGAUAUGAGAAAGAAGUGAUUGUACCUUUAAAAGAAUGAAAUACGGCAAGCUAGACUUUGCACACUUCUUAAAUUAACCAAUUAAUCAGUGGUAUAAAAAAAUACCAGCUUCUUAAACAUAAAACCAAUAGAACAAAGAAAUAAAAGGAAAGAAUUUUUUCAUCUGUUUCUGUAUGAGAUAUAACUAUGCACCAAACAGAAAUGAAAGGAGUUAAAAUGUAAAGCAAAUAACUGUGAA